CCUAACGGUUAAUACCCGUUAGCGAUGACAUUAGCUGCAGAAUAAGCACCGGCUAACUCUGUGCCAGCAGCCGCGGUAAUACAGAGGGUGCAAGCGUUAAUCGGAAUUACUGGGCGUAAAGCGAGCGUAGGUGGCUUGAUAAGUCAGAUGUGAAAUCCCCGGGCUUAACCUGGGAACUGCAUCUGAAACUGUUAGGCUAGAGUAGGUGAGAGGGAAGUAGAAUUUCAGGUGUAGCGGUGAAAUGCGUAGAGAUCUGAAGGAAUACCGAUGGCGAAGGCAGCUUCCUGGCAUCGUACUGACACUGAGGCUCGAAAGCGUGGGUAGCAAACAGGAUUAGAUACCCUGGUAGUCCACGCCGUAAACGAUGUC
rnacentral:rRNA from 1 species